UACGAAGGGGGCUAGCGUUGCUCGGAAUCACUGGGCGUAAAGGGUGCGUAGGCGGGUCUUUAAGUCCGGGGUGAAAUCCUGGAGCUCAACUCCAGAACUGCCUUUGAUACUGAAGAUCUUGAGUUCGGGAGAGGUGAGUGGAACUGCGAGUGUGGAGGUGAAAUUCGUAGAUAUUCGCAAGAACACCAGUGGCGAAGGCGGCUCACUGGCCCGAUACUGACGCUGAGGCACGAAAGCGUGGGGAGCAAACAGG
rnacentral:rRNA from 1 species